rnacentral:rRNA from 1 species
CCUACGGGUGGCAGCAGUGAGGAAUAUUGGUCAAUGGCCGGUAGGCUGAACCAGCCAAGCCGCGUGAAGGACGACGGUGCCAAGCGUUGUAAACUUCUUUUGUCAGGGGACAAAAUCAGGCACGAGAGCCUGACCGAGGGUACUUGAUGAAAAAGCAUCGGCUAACUCCGUGCCAGCAGCCGCGGUAAUACGGAGGAUGCGAGCGUUAUCCGGAUUUAUUGGGUUUAAAGGGGGCGUAGGCGGACUGUUAAGUCAGCGGUAAAAGCUCGGGGCUCAACCCCGGCGUGCCGGUGAAACUGGCUGUCUUGAGAUGUCGAGAGGUAUGCGGAAUGCGCAGUGUAGCGGUGAAAUGCUUAGAUAUUGCGCAGAACUCCGAUUGCGAAGGCAGCAUACCGGCGUCGAUCUGACGCUGAGGCACGAAAGCGUGGGUAUCGAACAGGAUUAGAUACCCUUGUAGUC